UUUUCUUUGUGAUUUGAUAGUUUGGUUUGUGGCCUUCUAUCUUACUCUGGAUCUCCCAUUCUCUUUAUUUAACUUUUUGUUGCUUAAAUAAAAAUGCAAUGUUUACAGCACAGUUUACUGUGAUUUUGGUUGACCUUUAUUCUUUUGAUUUUAUGUUUUAUUUAUAUUGGCUUUAGUUUUUUACUGAAUCACCAAGUAUGGUUAACCCAACAGGUGAAAAUAAAUACUAUAUCACUGCAAAGGGUUCGUUCAAAGUGGGUCGCAAAGGGUGUGAUAUAAUUAUCACCAAGGACAAAGGUGUUUCUCGGGUACAUGCAGAAAUAUUUCUUGAGGAGAUGACUUCUGCUAAUCCCCUGAAGACUUCUAGUUUGUCCAACAAAGUUUGAAUUAAAGAUUGCUCAAAGUACGGACAUUUAUUAACAAGAGCCUUGGGUCAAUGGAGAAAGUCCAUGAGUUCCCACGAAAAGAAACAAGUUUAACAGAUGGGAACCUGAUUUCAUUUGGAACUGGUAAUGCAACGUACAUGUUUUCUUUUGUUCCACUCAUUAUUUGGGUCUACUCUUUGGAGUCCAACCAAGCGAAUCAACCCCUUAAAGAUAAACUUUCAUCAAUA